CCUACGGGCGGCAGCAGUAGGGAAUCUUCCACAAUGGGCGCAAGCCUGAUGGAGCAACACCGCGUGAGUGAAGAAGGGUUUCGGCUCGGAAAGCUCUGUUGUUGGAGAAGAACGUGCGUGAGAGUAACUGUUCACGCAGUGACGGUAUCCAACCAGAAAGUCACGGCUAACUACGUGCCAGCAGCCGCGGUAAUACGUAGGUGGCAAGCAUUAUCCGGAUUUAUUGGGCGUAAAGCGAGCGCAGGCGGUUGCUCAGGUCUGAUGGUAAAGCCUUCGGCUUAACCGAAGAAGUGCAUGGGAAACCGGGCGACUUGAGUGCAGAAGAGGACAGUGGAACUCCAUGUGUAGCGGUGGAAUGCGUAGAUAUAUGGAGGAACACCAGUGGCGAAGGCGGCUGUCUGGUCUGCAACUGACGCUGAGGCUCGAAAGCAUGGGUAGCGAACAGGAUUAGAUACCCCUGUAGUC
rnacentral:rRNA from 1 species